rnacentral:rRNA from 1 species
GACGAACGCUGGCGGCGUGCCUAAUACAUGCAAGUCGAACGCUGAAGCGAGGAGCUUACUCUUCUUUGAUGAGCUGCGAACGGGUGAGUAAUGCGUAGGUAACCUGCCUUGUAGCGGGGGAUAACUAUUGGAAACGAUAGCUAAUACCGCAUAACAAUCGAUUACACAUGUCAUUUAUUUGAAAUGGGCAAUUGCUCCACUUCCAGCUGGACCUGCGUUGUAUUGGGUAGUAGGUGAGGUAAUGGCUCACCUAGGCGACGGUACAUAGCCGACCUGAGAGGGUGAUCGGCCACACGGGGACGGAGAAAAGGCACAGAAGGCUAGGGGAGGGAGCAGUAGGGAAACGUCGGAAAUGGGGGGAAAACAGAGCGAGAAAGGCCGAGGGAGGGAAGAAGGGUGUCGGAUCGGAAAGGUCGGUUGUAAGUGAAGAAAGGGCGUGAGAGUGGAAAGUACACACUGUGACGGUAGCUGAAAAGAAAGGGACGGCUAACUACGUG